rnacentral:rRNA from 1 species
CAGUCGCCGCGGUAAUACGUAGGUGGCAAGUGUUGUCCGGAAUUAUUGGGCGUAAAGGGCUCGCAGGCGGUUUCUUAAGUCUGAUGUGAAAGCCCCCGGCUCAACCGGGGAGGGUCAUUGGAAACUGGGAAACUUGAGUGCAGAAGAGGAGAGUGGAAUUCCACGUGUAGCGGUGAAAUGCGUAGAGAUGUGGAGGAACACCAGUGGCGAAGGCGACUCUCUGGUCUGUAACUGACGCUGAGGAGCGAAAGCGUGGGGAGCGAACAGGAUUAGAGACCCCUGUAGUCCCUGUCUCUUAUAC